AAAUCCACAAUCAACUCAUAGCCUUGAUUAAUAAAUAUUUAACUCACAAAAAUCAAAUAAUCUGGUUCAAAGAUUUACAAGAAAUUCCUCCAAGAUAUAAGCUCUAUGAUUUUACAUUGAGAUCCAUCAGAAUAUCAAUCUUAAUUGUUUCAAGUCUCAAGGGUUAGGGCCAAAUAAAAAUUCUUAAGUCUCAUCCCCAAGUAUAUUUUCCUUCUAUAUACGAGUUCCAUGCAUGAUCCACAUACAGAUUUCAAUAAAUAUUUUCUAGUCCAAACUUUAAACAUUUUUUUAUAGAUGAAUCUUAAUUUGCCACCAAAAUAAUUAACUUCAACUAGAAGCAAUAUCCAUAGUGCCUGAUAUCAAGUUAAACUUCCAAAAUAAUUACAUUGCACGAUAAUAUCUCAUGAUUAAUAUUCCUUCACUUAAUUUAGUCAAAAUCUAAUUAAUCAACACUUGAAAUACAAAUUGCUCCACCAAGAAAACUCUCAUAGUAGCUUAUUCACACUUUGGUAACGACCAUAAUUAGGUUGCAUUCUAAUUUUAGCAUUUCAAAAUUCUGAUAAAAUAACACAAAUUUAUCAAUAAUAAAAGCAAUAAAUACCUUCGUCUAAUGGCCUAAUGUCUACCCAUCUCUCAAACUUUCCGACGAA
rnacentral:lncRNA from 1 species